GGAAUUAUUGGGCGUAAAGAGCUCGUAGGCGGUUUGUCGCGUCUGCCGUGAAAGUCCGGGGCUUAACCCCGGAUCUGCGGUGGGUACGGGCAGACUUGAGUGAUGUAGGGGAGACUGGAAUUCCUGGUGUAGCGGUGAAAUGCGCAGAUAUCAGGAGGAACACCGAUGGCGAAGGCAGGUCUCUGGGCAUUAACUGACGCUGAGGAGCGAAAGCAUGGGGAGCGAACAGGAUUAGAUACCCUGGUAGUCCAUGCCGUAAACGUUGGGCACUAGGUGUGGGGGACAUUCCACGUUUUCCGCGCCGUAGCUAACGCAUUAAGUGCCCCGCCUGGGGAGUACGGCCGCAAGGCUAAAACUCAAAGGAAUUGACGGGGGCCCGCACAAGCGGCGGAGCAUGCGGAUUAAUUCGAUGCAACGCGAAGAACCUUACCAAGGCUUGACAUGAACCGGAACGGCGCAGAGAUGUGUCGGCCACUUGUGGCCGGUUUACAGGUGGUGCAUGGUUGUCGUCAGCUCGUGUCGUGAGAUGUUGGGUUAAGUCCCGCAACGAGCGCAACCCUCGUUCCAUGUUGCCAGCGGGUUAUGCCGGGGACUCAUGGGAGACUGCCGGGGUCAACUCGGAGGAAGGUGGGGACGACGUCAAAUCAUCAUGCCCCUUAUGUCUUGGGCUUCACGCAUGCUACAAUGGCCGGUACAAAGGGUUGCGAUGCUGUGAGGUGGAGCUAAUCCCAAAAAGCCGGUCUCAGUUCGGAUUGAGGUCUGCAACUCGACCUCAUGAAGUCGGAGUCGCUAGUAAUCGCAGAUCAGCAACGCUGCGGUGAAUACGUUCCCGGGCCUUGUACACACCGCCCGUCAAGUCACGAAAGUUGGUAACACCCGAAGCCGGUGGCCUA
rnacentral:rRNA from 1 species